rnacentral:rRNA from 1 species
UACGGAGGGAGCAAGCGUUACUCGGAAUUACUGGGCGUAAAGGGCGCGUAGGCGGUCUUGUAAGUCCUGUGUGAAAUCCCCGGGCCUAACCCGGGAAGUGCACGGGAAACUGUGAGACUUGAGUGCAGGAGAGGAAGGCAGAAUUCCCGGUGUAGCGGUGAAAUGCGUAGAUAUCGGGAGGAAUACCAGCGGCGAAGGCGGCCUUCUGGACUGCAACUGACGCUGAGGCGCGAAAGCCAGGGGAG